AUACUCAACUUCCCAGCCUCCCUUGCAGCUAGUGGUAAUCAUGUGACCCACUUCUGGCCAGUAAGAUGAAAAAAGGAAGUUCACUGGACUGGCAGAGGGAGCUUGGGAGGGCUUUUGCUGAUGCCACUUGUUCUUCUUGCCAUAAAGACGGUGUCUGACUUCCAGGCAACAAUGCACACAGAAGUUACAAGUGUGGAUACUAGAGUCAGAGCCUGGAUUCCAAUGCUGCUUCUUAACAGCUGUGUGACUUUCCACAAGUAAUGCAACAUCUCUGGGUCUCUGUUUCCUGUUCUGCAAAAUGGGGGUACUGUCUACUUGCCCCAGGGACCUGCUGUGCUGAGGAUCAUUCCCAGGAAGCACCUAGCACCAUGCUGGGUCCUGGCAAGCCACUGACAAAUGUUCACUGUCACAAUGGCCCUGCUUCCUCUGGUGCUCGGCACCAGGCUGACAUCGAGUACACAGUCAAUGAAGAAACAAGGAGACUCUGCAAGGAGAUACAUUAGGAUGAUGUACUGACAAAGCCUUGGGAAAACUGCUGGUGCCUUUGCUGGGGGGAAGAUUUCCAGAUGGAGCUCCUCAGGAUGGCCUGCCAAUCCAAUAAACUCAGGUUCCUAGAAAGCCUCCCCCACCCCACCCCACCCCCACUCUGUAAGCCCCACCCAAACCAGGACAGCAGCAAUUCUCCCCUUCCCCUGGUGUGCCUUCCCCGGUGGUCUGUUUCUUUAGGACAGGAACGCAGCUGUCUGGAAGGCACCCAGGGAAGCCAUUCCUUGGGACAUGUCCCCUGACCCACCCCCGGCAAGGCUGGGAUGACAGAAGGACAAACCCAGCCAAACAUAUGGACCCGUGGCCCAGGAUAGGCAACAGCUGGGCCACUGCCUGACUUUUCUUCUGCUCCUUGGAAUAUUCUGGCAAUGAGAAGACAUAGUCUCAGCAACUUAUAGACAUUUUCCCAGGAAAUCCUAACCGCUAAGGGAACAAUUUGCUCCAUUCUCACACAUUUCAAUCUACUUAUUUGGAAGACCAAUCCUUGCGUGGGCAUGCACGCACAUGCGCGCGCGCGCGCACACACACACACACACACACACACACACACACACCCUUCAUGUGGUCUUGUGUAGAAGUACACAAACCUGAUAAUAGCAACCACUAAUAUUUAGUAUAUGCUAAGUAAUAAAAGUAGCUACUAUAGUCAUCAUCUCAUAUAGUCCUCACAACAAGCAUUGAGACAGGGGCUCUAUCCACAUUUCACAGAUGAGGACACAGAGGUGGGCUGCCUUUCACAGAACAAGCUGCUAGCCAUGCUGGGGCUGGCGUCGGAGCCCAGGUCUAAGAACUCUGGUACAAGGAAUCCACUCCCUUUCCCGGAUUUGCCUCCUCCACCUGUGCUUAAGGAGUUAACCUUGUCGGAGAGGUUUUCUUUCCUUGGUUAUGUUUUCUAUUCUUUGGGUAAGUUUGACAAAGUGGGGUUCUUUUUCAUCGCCAGAGUCUGUGUCCCUGGAGGCUGAGGAAGGAACCAGAAGUUGCACUUUCCAACAUGGAUCGCCUGCUAAUUUUCCAAGGCAGCUCAGCCCCUGCCAGCGUCCCCUCCCUCCUUUGGGCUGAGGGCCCAGGAACCCAGCCUCAAAGUUCAGCUUGCUUCCUCCAGCACGCACAUUUGGAAAUUGAAAUUUCCCACAUUUUCACCACACAAAAGCCAGGUUGUAUUUUUGUUCUCUUCAAAAUAUGCCAAAGGAAUUUUUCCUACCCCUUGAACUUUCUCCAAAAAUAAGUAGAAAAAGUCAAGACCAUUUUGCCCUGUAAGCUGAGAAUAGAAAAAUCAACAUGCAGGGUGCCAUUUCCAGGAUGUUACGAAACAGCGAACAUGUGAAUCCGUCUCAACACCAUUUGGCAACUUUGGGGAUACAGUAGAUGAUAUUUCUCACCCACAAACUCCUCACUGAGUUUAUAUUAACAUUUUGCUUUUUUUUUUUAAAAAAAAAGAAAAAAGAUUCUGAAAAAGGUAAGAAGCCUUGAUAAAUUACCACCACCUGGAUUAAAAUUCAGAGUCAGCACACUGACCACCAGCAAAUAAAACAUGAAACUAUACAGAUAACUUAGUAAAACAAAAAACGAUAGUGGCCCAAGAUAAAUUAAACUUGCAGCAUAAAGGUUGAAGCCAAGGAAGGAAGGGAAGUAUUUAUCCCAUAACUAAUGAAGACUGCAAAGAACUAAGUAUAAUCGUAAAAGUACAUGGAUUAUUCUCAACUCACCAGAUCAUCCAUUCCCAGGAUUGUCUGCGAUCCUGGUCUGGGCUUCCCAGGCCCCUGUAUCUGCUGCCUUCAAAACCCUGCAUGCGGGUCUCUUGUGUCUCCCCCACCCCCCCCCAUCUCCCAGCUCAGUGAGAAUCAUCUUUCACAGUUUGAUCACAUCACUCCCAGCUCUGCUUAUCUCUCCUGGCUUCCCUUCUCAAAGCCAAACAGCUAGCUCUGCCCCCAGGGCCCUUCUCCUGACCCCUGGCUCCUGACAGCCUACUCCCCAACCCCUGCUCAUCACUUCCCAGGAAUUUGCUUUAAGCAAGGGACCUGCCUGUGCACUGGCCUCCACUCAGCACGAGUCUGAGAGAGUCCAAGUAGAAAACAGGACACUUAGCUACCAUCUACUCCCAACCUCUCUCCUGAGGAGGACUCACCCUAAAGGUAAGCUGGCUGAGUCCAUCAGAAUUUGCUCCCAUGACUCGAGUAACCGGGAGCUCAUGCACACCUGUACGGAAGAAAAGCAGACAGAGGACAAGGCUUGCAGACGAAAAGUGUACAUCCAAACCCAUCUCUCCCAGCUACCAGCUGUGCCAUACUGGGCAAGCGAUGGGUCUUCUCUGGGGCUCAGACCUUCCGUCUGGAAAAUGAGGCUAAUGAGUCCUACCUCAUAGCCAUCAACGACAUCAGGAACAUCAUCAUCAUCAUCCCUGGACAAUUUCAGUGUGAAAGGAACGUGGUAUUGCAGCUAGUAAGACCUGAAUUGGAAUCCCAGCUCCAGAACUUGGGGAAAUGAGUCAACUUCUCUGACCUUCACUUUCCCCAUCUAUAAAGUAGGGAUAGAAAGGUCUCCCUCAAAGGGUGACUGUCUAGAUUGAAUAAGAUGACACAUGUAAAAAUGGCUUUGCAAACUGUUUAAUUGGAAUAAAUAUACGCAUUUUUUUCUGCUGAGCUAAAAC
rnacentral:lncRNA from 1 species